CCUGGCGGCAAUAGCGCGGUGGUCCCACCUGACCCAUGCCGAACUCAGAAGUGAAACGCCGUAGCGCCGAUGGUAGUGUGGGGUCUCCCCAUGCGAGAGUAGGACACUGCCAGGC
rnacentral:rRNA from 1 species